UGACUGUAGGUCUGUGCCUUCUGUCUUUUAGAAUGAAUAUAGAAUCACCAGUGUGCUGUCCCACAUUGGGUCGAAUAUGAGACACGGACAUUACAUCUGUGAGAGCUGCGACUGCAACACACACUGGCUCUCAUUCGACAACGAGAGGGUGCAGCAGCUGGACCAGAAGUCUGUAUUGAGGCAGAGGUCAAACUCCGCCUACAUCCUGUUUUAUGAGUACAGGGCUGCUGGUGAAUAGAGAUCUCUAUGGAACAGAGACCAAGGCCAGUCUUGAAUGAAACUGCUCCUCUCUACACCUUCAAGAGCAUGGAACAGCCAGGCAUGUUUAUGUUUUUUGCUGAUGUUAUUUCAAAUGUAUGAUAUGAACACUGUAGGAAAGACAAGGGGUCAUUCUAUGAAAAUGUGUCAUUGUAGAUUCCAUGUGUCCAUGUAUCCCAUUUUGUUGAACCUGUUACCAAUGCAUUACAAUAAUUGUGAUUUGAAAUGUUUAAAAGUAAUAUUGAAACUAAUUCAACAGAUUACAAAAUAUGAAAGGCCCCUUGGUACUCUGAUCUUAUUGCUAAAGUAUAAAUAGUCAGGCUGGUAAAUAAUUUGGAUAUUGUUAUCCCAUCCUUGCAAUUUGAAAAAGGGAGUAUGAGGCACUGUCUUGCAUGAAAUAAGUUUAUUGGCAUUGGCAAGUGGACAAUGUUCAAAUACCAAUGUUUCUAAGAAAAUGUUCAUCACUCCAUCACAUAUCUCAUGCAUUACAUCCGCAUACUGUAUGUGCCUUUGGUUUCAACCAUUUUCUAGCCAUGGCCUUUUCGCUUGCCACUAGAAUUACUUUGAGAAGGUACUCAUCUUCUUUCUUUGUAGGAUCAAAGAUUGCCCUUCUGAAGUAUAGCUCUACAAAUGUCAAUGGCAUUUCUACCUUUAGAAUGGCCACCAUGCUUUCAGGGAUCCCCUCCCAGUAUGGAGAAUCCAGUAUCUUUCUCCCAUUUGUCCUUACUGUAUACUGUUUUCCCCUUUUCAUUUUUUUGGGAGAUGAUCUUAUUGCCUGAUUCAGAUUCAUAGGUUGCUGAAAACACAUUCAGUACCUCAGAUUCCAUAAGCUCGGAAUCCUCUUCCUCUAAUUAUCUGUUCCAAAUAAUGGCAUACUUGUAGAUAUCUAUAUGAAUCGUGAUUGGCUAGUCCAUCUUGAUCUUUUAGUUCCUGAAAACCUUUAAUUGCUCCUUGGUUAAAAAAAGUGCUGUGAGCCGUGAGGCUCUUCUUAGUCCACUCUCUGACAGCUGUGAUCAAACCUAUUUGGGACAAGGUCAGAGUCAUAAGCACACCCUUGCUACAUCUUUCAAACUUCUUUCAUUCCGCUCACUCUGUUGGUAUCCUACCAUAUCUUAAAUGUCAACAUGUUCAAUGGGUUAGUAAUAGGCAUCCCAAUUAUGUGCUCCACCAAUCUACACCUCCCAAUCAGUGCUUUCAUUGGAAUAUCAUCAAUUACUUCUCACUCAUUUUCUUUUCUUCUGGCUGCGUAGGAGGGGUUGCAUAUACACACCAAUGGCCGUAUUUGUGUAGUAUAGAAGUAGUUCUUAAGUUCUAUUUCAUGCAAUACGUGGAGUGAGCGUUUAAUGUUGUAUUGUGUCUGUCUUUGUCUAACAAAUCCAGUUUAGUCUGCCUGAAUUCUCUGUUAAAAUGUUCUCAAUCAUUCUAGCUAAAAUGGAGGCAAACAAUUUAUAGUCCUGGUUCACAACACUGAUCUAGGUCUAUAAUUUGCACACUCCAAACUGUCAUUCCCUUCUUUUUGGUAUGACUAAAAUGACAGCCCCUUUCAAUGAGGGUGAUACCUCACCUUUCUCCAACAGUCAGUUAAAUGCACUUAAUAACAUGGGGGUAAGUGGCACCCUGAAUGAAAUUUAUAUCACAACGAGAUGUACCCAUCGGUGCGUCGGUGCUUUUUCCCCUUA